GAGAGAUUCGGAGAAAGACUACACACAGAGGAGAAAAGAUGAUGCGGAGAUUAGAAGCAUUCAUUGUUAAGCCCGGAAUGCAGGGGCAGCUACUAAGAAGAAGAAGAAGCAAGGAGGGGCUGGAGAGAUGGCUCAGCAGUUAAGAGCACUGACUGCUCUUCUGAAGGUUCUGAGUUCAAAUCCCAGCAACCACAUGGUAGCUCACAACCAUCUGUAAUGAGAUCUGAUGCCCUCUUCUGGAGUGUCUGAAGACAGCUACAGUGUACCUACAUAUAAUAAAUAAAUAAAUCUUAAAAAAAAAAAAGAAGAUGAAGAAGCAAGGAAGAGUUAGUUCCUGACUAAGGUCCUCCUAGAGACUUCAGGCUUGUGUGACUUCUGAACUCUAAAACCCUAAAACUCUGGGAGCGUGCAUUUCUGUUUUUGAAACUACCACAUUUAUGGUAACCUGUUAUGGUACUAUCGGGAAAACUCUCUUCCUUCCUCUGUGUUAGCACUUAAAAAUAAACGAGGAAGGCUGAGGAGAGUUGACGAGGAAGGCUGAGGAGAGUUGACGAGGAAGGCUGAGGAGAGUUGAGCAGGUAGAGCGUCUGUCACUAAUGCAUGAGGAUUUGUAACACCAGAAUCUGCUUUAAAAACUGGGCAAGGUGUAACACAAGGCUGGCCAGCAGGCGGGGGUGGGAGGAUGGAACUGCAAACCGCAGGGAAUGAUUGGCUAACGAAUUGAUGAACUUUAAAAGUAAGCAGCGCAGUCCCUUCAGCGGACUUUGGUUCUGUUGCCAGCACCCAUGUGGCAGCUCAUGACUGUAACUCCAGUCCCAGGAGAUCUGCCAUGUUUUUUUUGGCACCUGUGGCGAUCCAGACAUGCAAAGGAUGAAUAGAGAUGAACGUAGAUGAAACACCCCCAUACAUAAAAAGUUAUAAUAAAAUGAGGAGAGUUUCUUGAGGGAAGAAAGUUAACAUUUACCUGCCCUCUCCCCUUGAGAGUGUAUGCACCUAACAAUUACACAUUGAAUUCCAGCCUGCACAUGCAUGAGUGUGUGCACCUAGUAGGCACACACAAAUACACACACACAGUGGGGGGGGGGGGGAUGAGAAAAAGCUACAAUGAUUUUCUAGCUCAAUGUAGUUGUCCUUGGUUACAGAAUUAAGAACAUAAAAUUGCAUACUGUAGAAGUUAGUUGCCUGCAAAGGUAAACAAUAAAAUGCAAUGAUCAAGGCCUGACACGCUUAUCUCUCAUUAGUCAUAUUUUGAUUCUUGAAACGUGAACCUGAUUAAGCAAAUAGUUGAAGGGGUGGGGGUAGUAGACCAGAAGUUUUAAGUAGAACCAACCCGGACGAGGUGAUUGGAAAUGGCUGUAAGCCGCAUGUGGACUUUGCAGGCCAUCCCAGGCACUUCUUCACAGGGUAUGGUAUGCAGAGGGACCCGACACCUGACAUGUCUCAGUGAGGAGAGAUCCUGCAUGAGUGGCCAGUGGAAGGCAAAGUGAUGGCUCACUUUCUUCCUCAAAUUCUUUCUUGAUGACAUAAAGCCAGUGGUGCUCUAUUGUCAUCCUUUUGGGAUAAGGAGAUUUUUUUACUUAGAAAAAUCUCUGAAAUCAAAUAUUAGAGGAGAAGCAAAAGUCAUACAAAAAAAACUAAUAAGAGAAAGGAGAGAAUCGCAGCUCCUGGUAAGUUCCCUGGGAUAUAGCUGGUUGCCUUAAGCUCCAGGCCAUGACCAUCUAGAAACGGGGAACCGAGACUCCAUCCACAUCCGCGUAUCCCGAACCAUGAGCCCAUUAAUCAUGUGUGGCUUUUGUAAUAGAAGAGUGUAAUUAGUUCUGUUUCUCUGAACAAGCUAGAGAAUUUCGACCUGCCUUGUGGGAUGAACUGCUUUGUGGAAAAGGCCAGCAAGUCCGUCAGAUUAGCACCUAGAAUAAAACAGCCUUGGUGAGGGGCUGGGAGACGUGGGUGGGAGACACCGCAGAGCUCUCCACUCCAGCGAGUUCCAGGGCUGUGGUGCUGGGCCUCCUAUUCUCCCCCCACCCCCAUUGGUAAUUUGCAGCCACGUCUCGUCUGUAUUCUUUAAUAUUUAGGUCAGUGAAUUUCAACUUGAAGAUUUGUUGAUUUAAGUGGCCUUGCUUCGGGUAGACUCCAUUUUUGACAGAUUGUACAAUUCACAAACGCUAUGUUUUGAGCAGGGAAGAAGUAGUUGUGUUACAAUUCCUUUGAAUGACGAGAAUUGGCUGCAUCUAUCAUGGCUCUAAUAAUAGGGAAAGCGCUACACGUGUUCCCAUUGAGUCUGAAUCUAAUGCCGUUCAUUUACUAUGCAGUACUUUCCGCAUUCUAAGGCUCGCGCGAUUCUCUUGAUUUAUAACUUGGUAUAUGUGCUUUCCUCGGGAUAUUUUUUCUUUAUCUUGUAUAUAUAAAUACAGUGCUGUAUUGGAGUCAGCUUUAUUUUACAACCGGGCAAACAUAUUCAUCUGUCCAGGCUUGACAGUACUCAGCAGCUAGCACUGAUAGUGGAAAGUUGGACCUGGUAGGUAUGAUGUUCUUGCUUUGUCUUAUGAUGUGUCUACAGAUGGGGACAGGGGGACAGGGUGGCUGAGGGUAUGGGUUUGUGGAAAGUGAAGGGUUUGUCAAACAGAAUCACAAGCUCCAAGGCUUCUGUGUCUACAGUGGGGUGCAGGUGAGACCAUGUGUGGUAGUUGGGGUGCUUGAGAAAAUACAUCCAUGCUGUGUCCUGGCAGCAGCUGCUGUUCGUUCAGCCUUAUGUUCUAGAUCCCACACAGAAAGAGACUGCCAUAUCCAGGGAUCCAUCCCAUAAUUAGCCUCCAAACGAUGACACCAUUGUAUACACUAGCAAGCGUUUGUUGCAAGGACCGUGAUAUAGCUGUCUCUUGGGAGACCAUGCCGGGGGGCCUAGCAAACACAGAAGUGGAUGCUCACAGUCAACUAUUGGAUGGAUCACAGGGCCCCCAAUGGAGGAGCUAGAGAAAGUAUCCAAGGAGCUAAAGAGAUCUGCAACCCUGUAGGUGGAACAACAUUAUGAACUAACCAGUACCCCGGAGCUCUUGACUCUAGCUGCAUAUGUAUCAAAAGAUGGCCUAGUCGGCCAUCACUGGAAAGAGAUGCCCAUUGGACAGGCAAACUUUAUAUGCCCCAGUACAGGGGAACGCCAGGGCCAAAAAAUGGGAAUGGAUGGGUGGGGGGGGGACUUUUGGGAUAGCAUUGGAAAUGUAAUUGAGGAAAAUACGUUAAAAAAAAAAAAGAAAAAGAAAUGCUAGUGAAGAGCUUUGGUAUAUGGUGUCCAGGUGCUCCGGCUACAGCCUAGGGAGUGAUUUCAGGGAAUAUUCUGAUUGUUCACUGUAGGGAAUUAAUUGGGACACAAAAGGCUACAAAGGAUUACAGUUGUGUAGGUCAAAUGACACAGACUCUGUACUGCUGGCCUGCGGGUCUCCCAUGAGACAUUGUCUUGUAUUUAUGGCCGCCUCCUUUCAUGUAUAUUGAUGUCCCAACCCUGUCCACUCCUGGAGCCCGUGGAAGAGAAUUUAGGUAGUUCCCAAGCUCUCAGGGUAAUUUAUGUGGGAAACUCUAGUGAAGAAUUGGUUCUCUGAAGGCAAAGAGCUGAGCUGAGUAAAACCUAGAUAUUCAGAAGUCAUGGCAGACAGUCGGGUAGGAAGAGAGCUGGGAUGCAGAAGUGGAGAGAGAGGAGGCAGCAAGGUUAGCCAGGAAGCAUUUUACAGACGCACAGGCUCAGCAUCAGUGUGUAGUGAUGGGAGGUGGGGGGGGGUGUGUGUGUCCAGGAAUAUGUGAAGCCUGAUUUCUACUCUUUAUGGCAGAGACGCUGGAUGCAAUACAGGGCGCUGGGCUUCAGCUGGCUGAGCUGUGAUCACCUAGCAUCUAGCAUGCAGAAGCCCUAAGUUGGAUCCUCGGCACCACAUAACUUGGGGGUGUGAUAUACACCCUCAGUCUCAGUGUCUGAGCAGUGGAAGCAAGAAGGCUAGAAGUUCAAUACCAGGACCCAUGUUCUGAUCCCAGCACGGUCACUCUCAACUGCCUGUGAGAAUACUUCUGAGGGACCUGUUGCCUUCUUCUGAGUCCUGUAUGUACCCCCACACAUGUGGCAUGCACACACAUGGACCCCAAUAAAAAUAAAUCUUCCCCAUACAGGGGUUUUGAGACUAGCUUGGGCUAUGCUACAUCCUACCAAAAUAAAAUAAAUGUGAAUGUCAAGGAAAUAAUUUUUAGGUAUAAGGGAGGAUAAAAUACAGAAUGGGGCAACCUUUUACUAAAGCAUUCUUUACUGCUUAUAUAAAAUUCAAAGAAAAGCUAAUAUGUUACAAUUGUGUUUGCUAAAUCUGACAGCCAUAUACCAGGAGACUGGGCAAAAUUCAUUCCAUAUUAGAAUUAUCUACAAUCUACUAGUCAGAGAACAGGAAAAAAAGAUGCAGUGAACUCGCUCUGUGCCACUUGGAUUGUCAAAUGUACACAUCGUCUCAUGUCCUAUCUGAACUUACCCAUGUUCUUCAGGAGUAGCAUGGUUGCAGGUGGGAUAGUAGUCCAGGCUAGACCCGUGCAGAGCUAAGGUGGAGCGUCACAGGAAAAUAUAGUCCAAGGGUUUGUAAUUAGCUGAAGCUUCUCCGAAGGGAGAGGGCGCAUGUUUGAGGAUGCUUUUGAGGUGGACAGGAAUGUUUGAGCAGACAUGUUAGUAGACAUGCAAUGGUGGGAAAUGACUAUAUGUAUGGUAGCUGCCAUUCUUCUUACUGUUUAGUAAGGAAUUCGAUGGCAGUGUAGAAGAACAUGGUUAACUCCUAACAUUGUAUGUCUCACAGACCUGGCCUAUUUCGACACUAUGUGGCACCACUCUGCAUGCUAGGUAUUCAUUAUAUGCAGUAUCAUUGUGUGCUCUCUAGUUUUCUAAUUUAUUAUAACCCACAGAGCUGUGGUCUGAAGACAAAAAGAACUUCAUGGCAUAAAAUCAUCUUUCCCGAAAGGUUCCAGACUAGUUCAGCGUGCCGCUAAGGAUGGGAAAGAUAAAGGGAAAUACAAGCUAUAAACAGGUGAUGUUAUUCAUUGCUUGUUUCUUCAUCAUAGCAUCGAUUUUGAGACAAAGAAAAGAAAGACAUCUUUGAGCCUCAGAAUCCAUAAGAACAGUGGGGAGGAGGGACAGAACCUUGGGGACUCGGCAGUGAGAGCAGAUAAAAAGUGUAGGUGGCAGAGGCUGGAAGUCACGUGACCAGGCGAGUGGCUUCUCCAUGUAGCAGGUGCGAGCAUCUGACGUUCUCAGAUGUGUUCCAUGGUACCAAAAAGCAACAGCUACUGAGAGUGCAUGUCCCGACACGGGUUCCACCAUUUUCCUUUUGUAUUCUGCUCGCUCUCACAUGACAGCUCUAUUGCACUUCAUGUCUUAGACUCUCUCCUCCUUUUGCCUCCCAUGUCUGUGUUGACUAGAGAGUUCUCUGCUGUUUUUCCACAUCGCCGGCAAGCAUCCUCUGUCCUUACCUUUAUGACUUCUAGUUGGCUUCGGUAUUCACUUUCCUAACCUUAAGUGGGUCUUUUCUUCUUGAGAAUUUUAUACAAGUGUACAGUAUGUUUUGAUUAGAACCAACCGCCACCCAGUUCCCAACCCCCGUCUCUACCAUCUCUACUUUUCUAUCAAUCCCCUUUCCUACUACACCUCUGUGGGAAGCCACAUGUGCCGUUGCUGAGUGGCACUGACUACUGCUGGCCACCAUGCAUAAGAUUGGACAAACAACCAAUGUGUACAUAUGCAGUAAAGUCUUUUGCAAAGACACUGCCUGGCCCAGGCAUGAUAAUGAGGUUCUGUAAGGUACUGAGAGUAUAACCAAUCAGAUGUGAGACAUGCAAAUGAUGCAUGAUAAUGAGGUUCUGUAAGGUACUAAGAGAGUCACCAAUUGGAUGUGAGACAUGCAAAUGAGGUAUGAUAAUGAGGCUCUGUGAGGUACUGAGAGAGAGUAGCCAAUCAGAUGAGGAACAUGUAAAUGAGGCUUAGUGCAUAACCAAUCCGGGUAUGAGACACGCCUCUCCUAGGCCUAUAAAAGCAGCACCAGUUCUGGGCUCGAGGUCUUUUCGCCUCUGCAAUCAAGCUCUCCCAAUAAACGUGUGCAGAAGGAUCCUGUUGCAGCGUCGUUCUUGCUGGUCGAGUCCGGUGCGUGCAAGACACCUCCCUCAUGAUUAUAUGUAUUCCACUGUCAGAGUUUAGUUGUUGCAACCAGUAUCUGCCUGGGUAUAGAGCCAUCUACUCGAGCAUACAGGCUGAUUCCAUGAAGAAAAUGUCCCUCCCCUAACACCCAUCAACAGACAAUAUCUCCUCAGCAUGGAGUGGGGUUCCUUGAGCCCUUUCCCAACCAAUGUCAGUUGGAAUUUUAACUGGCUUGGUCUUAUGUAGGUCUACACAUUAAGCUAUUGGCUUUAUGAGCUCAUGCAUAUGCAAUGGGCCUUUCAUUCUCAGAGAAUAUAAUUUUACAGCAGCUCUACCAACUUCUGGCUCUUAUCCUCUUUCUCUUCCUCCGUGAUAAUCCCUCAGUUUUGGGGAGAGGGAGUGUGAUGUGGAUGUCUCAUUACGAGAUGUACAUUUCAAGUUAUAUCUCAGUUUUGCUUCUAGGUAGCUUGGUAAGAAUCUUCAUUGAACAAACAAACCAAAAGUUUGACUACCAGUUACAUGGAGAAGCAGUAUUAAGUGCUGGCUGCAAGCCUGCUUGGGUCCCUCCUGGCUGUACCUCUCCCUGGUCGCAUGGCCUCAGGGAAGACGUAUAACUUUCCUUCUGGACUUUAACAUACUAAAAGCAAAUUACCUCGAAAAUUGAGCAAGAGAAUCCAAAAUUUGGAUUUUAAUAGAUAAACUAUUAUCCUAUUAUUAUCAUUACUAUUAUUAUUUGUCGCAUUUAGGAUGUGUGGUGUACACAGACAGACAAGAUCUGUACUGUCUUGGGACUGUUUCUUUCUACUGUUCUAAGUGUUAUGAAGAGCCCUAAUGUGAUAGAUAGAGACAGUGGUAUGAACUUGGCGCACCUUUGGGUGGGUAUCAGAAGCCCAAAAUGAGAGUCAUGAAAUGGGGUCAUAGCUUAAGAAAACGAAAUAGCCACACCUGAUAAAAAUGAAUCGCAGCAUGUUUUGACAGUUUGUGGACUUGACCCAGCAAAGAGGGACGCGCCUAUGCUGCAGACAGAGGAGCUAGUGUUAUCAGCAGGGACUCUGACAUAAAGGAGCUGGCCUUUAUUAGAAUGCGGGCCCCUCUCAUUUCUAAAGGGAGAAGGUGACACCAGGCUGGCGGCCGUGGGCUCCUAGCAUGUUGUCUUAUUUUCCCUUUGAAGAAUAAGGUAAUGUCUAUCAAGAUUAGGAAGGGGUUGGCUGGGAGCUGGGGAAUGCUAGCUUGAACGUUUGUAGGGAGGAAUGACUGUGUGAAAUGAGUUUGCCGGGCCUCAGCAGUGGGAUCCCCUGCGAUUCGCAGUGCCUGUUUGGGAUUUGCGGUCAUGAAUUUAGAAUGAGGCGAGGCAACCCAGUUGCAUGUCUAAAAUAGCGCUUUCCAGAAAGGUACACUGGCAGUUUAUUUCCUGAGAUGUAUAUGUAACCGAAAUAUAGUCUAGCUUUCAAGGCAGAAAUUCCAAGUUGCCUGUGUAGUGACUUAGUUAAGAAUUCUUAUUAAGCUCUCUGUGCUGGCUUAGACCUGUAAAUGCCAAAACAAGCCGUCCUCCCCACUGAUUAACAUUAGCCCCCCUCCCCAACCCCCCAAACCAAUUAUUCCUAGGAAAGACUUCACGCUUUAGCCUUUUCAGCAGAACCUUCUGGAGGAAUCCAAAGGUUCCGUACCUCCUGUCCAGCGCAGAAGGCAGCGGCCAUUUCUGGGUUUUCAUCUCUUGAACAGUAGUAGCUAGUGCCUUGUAGCUAAUGCCUCUGAGAACGGAAAGUUUCCUGUGACCCGCUUUGCUUUGUUUAAAGCGCCACAUACGGCUGGUAGCUAUGAUUUUGUACAACACAGUUGUAGUCACUGCCUUCUCGCCUUGCGGACAUUUGUGACUGCAGAAGAAGAAUCCAAACCUAAUCCUUUUUGGUGUUAGAAAUCUGAAAUUUGCAAGUUGUGGAAACGGCUAUGGGAUUUGGUUUUCAAACAGACUUGUUCAACACUUGGCAGUCACUAGACUUUUCCUCAGGUUUUUGGGAGGUGUCUACUAACGUAGUAGCUCUCUUUUGGAACUUCUGAGAUUGACAAAAACAAGCGUUCAGAAGCCAUGCAGUGGGUUUGUAGCUCCAUCCUGGAGACUGUCAAUUGUGUGGUCAUUGGAAAAUGCCUACGCAGUGUGCGGUGCAUGGUAACUUGCUCUUUCCCUCCUACGCUGGGUUCAUCUGCCUCAGAUUCCUCCUGGUGGAUGGCUCAUACUCUAGGCAGGACCAUCAGCGCUCUAACAACAAAUAAUGGCUGUCUUCAGGCUUAGCCUUUUCUCGUUUUGUUUUGUUUUGUUUUUUGUUUUGUUUUGUUUUGUUUUGUUUUGUUUUGUUUUGUUUUGUUUUGUUUUGUUUUGUUUUGUUCCUCCCUGCUCCCGAGCAGCUUUUCUCGCUCUUCAUCCUUACUCCAUGUCUUUGGCAAUACAAUGUUUCUUGUUGCUGUCUGCUGCCUUGUUUCCUUUCUCUCCCGCUUUGGCUUUUCAUCUCACUGCCCUUUCUUGUCUGCAGGCUCUCAAGUGGUGGAGACAAUAUGUCCCGGAGUCUUGGCAGGUGCAGCAGAGAUCCAGAUGUGGCAGUAGCUCAUGGCCUGCUGUCAAACAGGCCAAGGAGAGGAUUGGUUUUGAACUCCAGGGAAAUGUCCCUCUGUGCUCCAGCUUUGCUUGAGAAUUCGUUUUUGGAAUUCCUCUCUAUGGAGACCAGUUACUACAUCAUAGCAGCGUUGACAGUCAUUGGCUGGACAGCAGAUGAUGGUGGGCAUCCCUUUGUGGCUUACUGAGCAUUUGCGGAGUUUCUGUGGGAGAACUUCUGCCUAUUUUAAAUCUUAUUUGCCAAUCUAUUACUGAGUUCCAGUAGUCAUUAUUUAAACACAAGUCCCUAACACAUAAAGUGAUAUUUGCAUUUUCACUUAUAGGUUAGAGUUUUAUUUCUGGAAUAUCUACUAUAUGUAUCUCAUUAAUCUAUGCACUCGUCUUUAAAUCAGAACCAUAUUGACAUGAUUGUUGUAACCAUGUCUUUAAUUUUGAAAUAAAAGUUGUAUUCUGUUAAGCUUGUUCAGUUAUUUUAAAAAAAAAAAAAAAGACCAUUCUGAGUCCUUUGAAUUUCAGAGUAAAUUUUAAGAACAGCUUAAAACAGAACUUAGAUUUUGGUGGAGGGUGUGUGGACACUGUUGAUUUUGGAAUUGUUGCUGUUGUAAUGAUUUUAAACCUUCUGACUUAUGAACGUGGUACACCUUCCUACUUACAUAGGUCUUCUUCCAUUGCAGCAAGGCUUCAUAGUACUCAACAAUAGUUAUGAAAAUUAUUCCUAUGCAAUUUUUCCUUUUCAAAGAUACUAUAAAUUGAAUUAUAUCUAAAAAAAUAUGAACAUAAAUUGAUUUCUGGGUAUUUAUCUUGUACAUUGUCACCCGGUCGAGCUCAUUCAUUCAUUUGAAUAUUUUCUAAAAAACAAAAAUUUCAGGAUUUUUUGUAUGUAAGACUGUUUCAUAUGUAAGACUGUAAACAUGGGACUUUCACUUUUCCAAUAUAGGGGCCUUUUAUUGCUUCUGCUGCUUACUCUGGUUAAAGCCUGCAGUGCAGUGGUGGAUGGAAUGGGUGAGAGCGGGCGCCAUUGUCUUUCUUGUUCCUCAUCCUUCAGAGAAAGAAUGCAAGUUUCACUGUCAAGUGUGGCUAGUUACAGGUUUUCCUUAAGCAUGCUGUUUUCUUUUUCUUUUUCUUUCUUUCUUUUUUUUUUUUUUUUUUGGUUGAGAAUUUUUUUCUUUUUUUCUUUUUUUUUAAUAACAACUUCAAUGAAUUUGUUAAACCAUGAGAGAUAUUUCCUAUUGUUAAGUGGCUUUCUGUUUCUAUUGAGAUCAUGAUGCGACGUAGUCCAUUGUUCUGUUGAUAUGGUAUGUUAGAGUCAUUGACUUUCAGAUACUGAAUCGACCUUGCAUUCUGAAGAUAAUUCCCAUGUUACUGUCACAUAGUCUUUUAAAAAUUAUGCUUUUAGAACAUGUUUGUCCGUGUUCCGUUGAAGGUUUUUGCUUUGUAUACUCUUGAGAGAUAUCAGCCUAUAAUUUGUCUACACUCCUGAUUUUUUAGUUGUGUGCUUCUCAAAUUAUCUCCAUCCUGGCCUCAGAGAGUGUGCUCUUAAGUUAUCUGUUUUUGAGUAACUUUUGCACUGCAUUCGCACUAACUUUCUCUAAUGUUAUGAAUCCAGUUUCCCAGUUUGGGGGGUUCAUCCAGGUUUCCGAUUCCUUAUUGGACUGAUUUUGAUGGUUUGCAUCUCUACGUGUUACUUACCGUCAGCACGACACAAGCUAGAGUCACGUAGGCAUUGAAGAAUUGAUAAGGUACGGUGGAUUCAUUGACUUUUAGAUAUUGUGUAAACCUUGCAUAACUGGGAUAAUUCUAUUUGAUUGAUAUAUAUAAUCUUUCACAAAGUAUGUUUUUAGAAUGUGUUUGUCGGUUGAGGAAUUGCUUCUGUCACAUGGGCCUGUGGAUAUGUCCCUGGGUUCACUUUGUUGAUUAAUGAUUGAUGCGGGGUGGCCACGCCCACUGUUGGCAGGUGGCCCUGAGCUGUAUAAGGAAGCAGGCCUGUCAAGCCAUGGGGUCAAGCUAUGGAAUCCUUUUAUACUCUUUUUAGUUCUUAUCCAGCUGAGUAGUGUCUCCCUUUCAGUGUUGAGCUUAGUAACUUGAAUCCUCUUUUAUGUACCCUGUUGGUCAACCAUUAAAAAUUUAUAUAAUUUUGUAGACAUUUUCAAAGAUCUAAUCUUCUUGUUGUUUUUUUUCUCUCACUUCUUUCUGUUCUAAUAUUUAUCUUCCCCUUCUGUUUGCUGCAGGUUUGCUUUACUCUGUCUUUCUCAGUGUCUUUAGAGAGGGUAGCUCAUUGCCCUGGGGGUUCCUUGAGAUUGGCAUGUUUAGCUAGAGACUUCCUGUAAGGACUACUUUUGUUGCAUCUCACCAAAUUGUCUGUGUUUUAUUUCAUUUUCAGUCAUUUUGCUUAUUACUGGUGUUCCUGUGAUCCCUUUAUUCCUUUCAUUUUAUCCAUUUACUAUUGUAUUCAUUAUUAAAUUAUAUUAUAUGAUGUUUUAAUGUUAUUUAUAUAAUGGAAUAUAUUAUAGAUAUAUAAUAUAUACUAUGCAAUUAUAUAAAUCAUUUAUAUAUAAUAUAAUUGCAUUAUUAUAUAUAAUUAUAUUAGUAAUGUAUAUUUAUUAUAUUAUAUAUUGUAUUAAUACAUAAUAUAGUUAUAUAUUAACAAUAUAUGAUAUAAUAUAAUAUAAUGUUAUAUUACAGAAUGUACUAUAUAAUAUGUAAUAUUAAAUAAUAAUGUAACAAUAUUAUUAUAUAUUAUUGUAAAGUAUAUUCAUUAAUAUCCCUUAAUCAAGUUUUAUUUGGAAAUGUAUUCCUUAAAUUUCUGCAUAAUUGUGAAACUUUUAGAUUUCUUUUUGCUACUCAUAUCUAGUUUUAUUUCAUUCUUCUCAUAAGACAGACUUUGUCCAUCAGCAGUUCCUUUAGAUACAUACUUAGGCUUGUUUGAUGGCUUACUAUGGGAUCUAUCCAAGGAAUGAACCCUGCUCACUUGAGAAGGUUGUACUCUGCUUUCUGUGUGCUGGAGAGCCCUGCAUGUCAGGCUUAGGUUUAUAACAAACGUCUAGUCUUAAAUUUUUGUUGUCUAAGAGCAGAUUUACCAAGAAGUUUAAUCUGUAUUUGUUGGCAUUUCUAGAGUUCUAAAGGAGCCGACUGCCUGUUUCAUUGUCCUCAGAAUAGCUGCCUACCCAAACGCAAAGGAUUUAUAUCAAAAACAAGUCCAGAAACUGAAGAGGUGGCUCAGUAGAUAAAGUACAUACUAUGUAACUGUCAGGACUAGCGUUUGAACUCAUAGACCUCAGGUAGAAGCCUGGCAGGGGUGGCCUUUUCUAGCCUCUGUAUUGCUAGCGCUUGGGGGAGAGGGCUGCCUGGGGCAGGCUGGUGACCCAGACUAACCAAACUGCUGACCUCCAGCCUCAGCAAGAGACUCUGUCUCAGGAAAUCAGUGGUGAAUGUUUAUGAGGAGGACAUAGGCUGUCAGACUGAGGCAAACAUAUGUACAAUAUAUGCACAUGCACAGUAAUAGACAUGCAUACCACAGACAUAUAUGUACGGAAAAUAAAAGAUUAAAAAUUUUUAGUACUCCUUAGUAUUAUUGUCUUAGAGAUCUGGGUCUCACAUGUCUAAGGUGUGGGCCUCAAACACAGCCUGACUGUUUAUGUUCUUAUACUGAAUUGUCUUAAAACCAAUAUUGGUUCCCAGGCACCCAUAGAACAUGUUCACAGAUUGAGAAGAAACCCACAGAUUCCAAUGAGUGUGGAUCCUGCACGUGUCCCUGGUUGUCCUCCUUAGCUUUGGCUGUCCUUCAAGAGGACAGAAUUUAAGAUCCAACGCAUGCAGACUGUGGCCGCAUCUUCACACAUGUAAAUUUGAAGACAGAAGCAUUUGAACAGUUUGUUGAAAUUUCUGUCCUUUAAAGUCAGUUUUGGGUGGCAUGGGGCUAGAUCCUGUGUUGUCAAAGCGUGUUCUCUUCCAUGAAACCACUGUAACUGAGGCUAACAUCUCUCAUUAGUAUUGUAAACUGGGAUUUAAAUUGAGACGGUCUCUGGUUCGAUGCACCUUGGAGAACUCAAGAAUUGUUGUGUUUGACAAAUAAUAGGACUCUCAUUGACACGGUUACUAUCGAUUAAAAUAUGCUUAUAUUACUAAGUAUAUUGCGGGGUGGGCUGAAUUUUUCUGUACUGCAUUAAAGAUCGGUUGGGCUUUAGUCCAAGAAUGUUAUUAAUAAACCAUUUAGCUUUCACAACGUGAAUUUGUGAAUGCCCUUCCCAUUGUUGAAAAAACUGGUUUGUCCAACUUAUUGUCUUGUGCUCUUUUGCUCAGAAACGAUGAUUACUCGGUGACAUAACUUCUUUAUAAAUAAACUUUUUUAUGAAUUGUUUUUAUUUUACUGUUACCCUUCAAAUUAUUAUAUAUGACCACUCGAUUGUAUAAGCACUCAGCUCUGUGGGAGAAAUAUUUCUUGUCCCCACCCUGUGUGACAAUGCAUUCUUUCUCAUUUGCAAAAAGGUCGCGUCUCUAAUUGUCACUAAUGGAUCAUUUCCAUUAGAGACUUUUUGUUGAGGCCACAUACCCGACGUUAGAAUCUGAUUAACCAUUAGGAUAGUUUGUCUUUUAGGGAUCCUGUCUCGAGGGCUGUUUAAUGUUAUAUUUAGACACACGUGUGUGCGGUAGAAAAGCCAGACAUUGUGAUUUUUCACUCUCGGCCUGCUCACGUUAGUGGGUGAUCUUGAUUGAGCAAUCACGCAGUUUCCCUGGGUUCUGGUAGGUAUCAUGCAGAGUGGUAGUGUGUCCUUCUGCAGGUGGUCACGAGUGUUAAAGAUCUGCAUGGCUGUAAAGCACCUAGUAAGUGCCUGGGCCACAGAACACUUCUCAGUACUCAGGACUCUUGUCAUUCCUGUCUUUCUAAGCGGCCGGUGAGCUCUGCUUCGUUCUUUUCCUUUAUUAGGACUACUAAUUAAACAUGGUACCCAGUUACAUGCUCAGCUUUGAGAUUUCUUUUUUAACAUUGGUUUUAUAUGAAUUACAUCUGUGUUCUACACACCUGACCUAGGCCUCCAAUGUAGUCAGAACACUUUCCCCUCAAAACAACUGUAACUCAGCUAUAACCACAUCAACAAAAAUUCCCAACUUCCCUAAGUUUAGGACUGUUAAACAUUUUAGGCAGUUAUUGCAUUUAUUCUUGUUCUGACCUUGCCUAUUAAAGAGUUAUAUUUAAUAUGUUGCUACUGUGGGGGGAUGCUAAAACUAGCAUUAUUAUUUAUCUGCAUCCCAUGUAACCUUAGAAAUAAAUAUAACUCUGCAAAUGCGCUUUGUUUUCCCCCUUAGAGCGUAUGUUUGCUUUUAAAUCCCUUACACCUUUCUUCCCGGCCUCCGUCUCUGAAGCGGUCAAUAGAGCUGACGACGUUCAUUCCUUCACUUGCAGCUCAGAUUCCAUUAAAGGCCUCGGUGCUGCCGGCCUGAUGGCGUUUGAGCCAGGGACUCCAUUCCCCACUAACAACUAAUAUCAUCCAUUAGUUUCUUCCUUACAGAGUGACAGUGUUUACGGGGCUUCCAGAGCCAGUUUUGGAGCUUAACGUUGGAACGUUGUAAAUUAAUCUACCAUAUUUGGCUUUAAAAAUAGCCUCUAAGAAUGAGAUAAAGCUUUUCUGUUUAAUGAUGAUUAAUAGCUUAUUUGGAUGUAUUCAUCAGAGGAGCCGAAGAUAAUUUUGUCAUCAGGCCACUUGUCUAAGGGCACAAACAGAUGGGUCCUGCUCCAAAUCCUGGAGGCAAACAGAGCAGCUGCCCCUUUAAUUGCUUGGGGAAGAAGUUGUGCACAGGCAUGUCUCCCUCCAAAGGACACUCUGAUUGUCACUGUGACAACUUUCAGAUGAAACGUCAUUACGAAGGUUCAGUGAAGUCUUCCUGGACUGUACUGACGCUAUCUACUUCGAGGAAGAACCAAGACAAAUUUCUGGUGAAUGUGGGGCUGAAGUCGUAGCCGAUUUACACAGAGAGUCCCACUAUCUCCUAUGGCCUUAUAAUCUUGUAAUGUGUUUAUGGGACAAAUAAUGUCUGUCUUAGGGACUGGUUGUCAAGAUGGCACGGUGAGCUGGUCCAUAGCAGGCACAUGGUAAUGAGGAUGCGAUUUAGUCUCUAGAACGAUGUGUAGCUGCGAUCGCCGCUUUGCUCGCUGUUGUAUUAAGUUCAUAAAGAUAACCAUGGUUAACUCGUGCUCAUGAACCCAGCACCUUCCAUGGCAAGCAAAGCCAGUCAGUCUCUCCUUCUCGAGAGCCUAGCACGAAGCAUUUAGCUGACGAUCUCUCAAGUAAUUGGAUAAAUCAACGGAUCAUAUAUUCUAUCAAUGUCUGGACCAAUAAUCUAAAAAUUCCCAAAACCUCGAUCAAAAUCUCAACCAGAUAUUAUUCUAAAAUACAAAUUCGGAAGCCUCAGAGACGUGAUCCAGCACUUUGUACACAGUGAGCGCUUGCAAGUAUUUGCUUAUUUAUUUAUUGGUUGAAGAAGUAAGCGGCACAUUUAGAUUACAAGAAAAAUUGACUUUCUACAUUACAUUGCACCAUUGAAAAGGAUUAUUGUUUGGAGUUUUUUUCUUAAUUACUUAUUGAUUUGAAGGAUGUGCGAUUGGAAGAGGCUGGUAGAUUUUUCUACUCCUCACCUUUAGUUUCAUAAGUGAGGAUACAGCAGCUCUGUGGGGUGAAAUGACUGGACCAAAGGAAGCAAGGUAAUAAGUGAGGUGAGGCUAGACCUUAGCCUAGGCUGAUGACGGCAUACAGGAAGUUCAUCCCAGGGCUUUCCCAGGUCAUAUCCAUCAGUGCUGUCCAAAACAAGGUGGUGGGUGGGACUUGGAGGGAGAAGGGGAGUUUCCAAGAAAUGUCUUCUUAAAGGAAACAAACAAACUUCCUAUGAAGGACAGGCAUCAUCUAUGCUGAUCUUCAGUGUGCCGAUGAGGCAGAGAAUGAAAUAGCUCUAUUCCUAGGCCAGGCCUCGAGACUUAGGAUGUUGUUAGUGAGAUAUCAGUCCCACAAGCUGUUAAACGGUCCAGGCUGAAGGUAAUGCCCGUUUCCAUAAGCGGAGGGACUGCACAGGUGUGUGAUCAUGUCGGUAUGGGUAGAUUCUUCUUUCAGGCAGCUCUGUGUGAUGGAGACCCAGCCCCACACGAGAGCCUGCAUGUACGACAGGCGGUUGGUGUUGUACUGUGGCUGAGACUUGGACACAGGUGAGAAAUACAUUGACAAGAAGCUGGAGGUCUGGAGAAGAGCCUAUCAGAAGAGGGAGGCAAGCUGGGACUUUACUGUCUCACGUCGUUGUGUCUUGAAGAUUGCUCCCAUUCACCACUCUCAUUCACCUCCACUCAGCGAUUAACUGAGUAAGUUACAGACACAAACUGUUCUAAGUGUUAGAGCUCCUGGGAAGAACAGUAACUUCUGUCUGCGCUGCGCCUUCAUUCUCCUGGGGGAGGAAUUCAAUUAUCGUUUCUUCUCACCUGUUCCUUUGAUCUACUGAUUUCCUCAUUCCUACUUCCCACUCUCAUCUAGAAAUACCCAGCGACUCGACUCCGUUAUUAGGUGUUUCACCUUCUCUGACCUAUGUUAAGUUCUAUUUUGUAAGCCAACAUGUGUCUUCUUUACUUGCCCAGCAGACACUAAGCGGCAGAAACCCCCGUGCAGUCUUCUUGCCUCUAUGUGGCCUUUCAUGGAGUUCCCAUUUGCAAUUUUUAAUGCCUUCAGAUAAUUUUCACACAAGAUUUUUUUUUUUUGUCAGAGUCACUGUAACAAUUGGACUUUGGGUGUCAGUUAAGAUGGAGCAUAGAAACCAAGGUUUGGGUUAAGUGACCUCUUAAGAUCAAGUCAGUUAGGAAAAGGGUGUGGCAGCUUGAGUAGGGUCUCCAGGUGAGACUGACGAUGGUGGAGAAAAGCAUGCAGCCUAUUUACAAAGACCACCCUGGAUUGUAGACGCUGGGGAUGCUGAGGGCUUGUCCUCAGAAAGACAUCAACGUCUGUUGCUGACUAGUGACCGGAUGUACAGGAAUUACUAUGAUGGAGUUGUUUUCUCAGGUCCUCAGCAAAGGGUCUACAAAUGACGUGCCAUCUUGGCGAAGUGAAACAAGAUUUUGAUUUACGGUGCUUUUUUUUAGGGCGAGAUGAAAUGUUUCAGAGGUAGUAGGUGUUGCUGAAAAUGACAUUUUAUCUUUGAAAGCCUGAAUGGCAGCGCUCAUUUUUCUCCUUUAACGUGAUGAUGGAAAAAUCUAAUCUUUAACAAUCUCAGCCCUUAUUUCCCUAACUGUUCCCAUUAGAAAGGUGAUUUGGCCUCACUUUGGAGUCCUAGGAGGUUGAAAUUGAAUCAGAUACAAUGACAUUAUAAAUCAAAAUGUCUUUGAAUCCUGUAAUAGAAGACAUUUAUGUAGUGCAUAUUUUAUUCUUAAAAUAACUCACAAGAUAGUUAAUUAUAGUAGAAUAAUGUUGACAUUAUUUUAUUUGUUUUGUUGGAUCCAUUAUUCUUAGAUGUUGGAAUGCUCUCAUUGUCUUCUUUUGAUGUCAUAUUCUCCAGAAUAGGCUGCCUUAGUAGAUUGCAUAUUAUAACACGCUCUCUUUAUAAUAUAGCACAGACACCCUUACCCUCAAGGAUGUAUUUGAUGUCUUUUCCCUUGGAAUCUGGGUUAUGUGACCCAGAGUUGAAAGCGAUAGGUUUUGGUUCUGAAGCUACAUCAUAGAGUUGCCAUGUCCGUCCUUCCUUCUUCUCCUGGGGGGUUUGCUCUUGGAAGCCACGCAGCUAGCUGUGAGCAAGCAUGUAGGUAGACUGCCUUGCUGCCCAAACAAGGUCCAGCCUGACAGCUAGCAUCAACGUAGGGGUUGCUGAGAGGUUGAUAGCCUUCAGGCCCAGAGUGAACCCACUACCAGCUUCUCAGCCGUUUCAGCUGACAUUAGGUGAGUCAGAGAGCAGUUUUGUUCAGAUUGACCAAACCCCCCCCCCCAAAAAAAAAAAUCAUCCUUUUAAUUCUUUGAGUUUGGAGUAGUUUCUUUCAUGGCAGAAGACAAGGAGAGGAAGCUGCUAGCAUAUUUUUGACAUUAAUCUGCCAUAUGAAUGAUGCUUUAAAGAGGAGCUACAUAUUUAGUUUGUCCACACUAAAGAACGAGAUCUUGACUGAAUUUCACAGCUGAAUGAAGACCACGACCCCCCCCCCCUUGUUGGAUGCUAGCUUCCAGAUGAACAUUUAGGGGGUGAUUAAGGGAGACUAUAUAGCUCUGUCCCACAUUAGUUGGUGGACAAGUUACUUAGUCUCCUCAUCCAUAGAAUGGGUAUAAUACUAAUACCCUUAACUUAGAGUUUUGAAGGUCAAGUACAUGCAACCAUCUUAGAACAGUAUUGGGACAAGCCAAGCAAGAGAUGGAUGAUGGACAUUGUUAGUAGCAACAGAAUCCUGGUGCUUUAUGGAUGUGCUUCAAGGAUUUGUCAUGGGUAAAAGAACCCAACCUCAAUAAUGAUUAUUUUAGCUUUCUAUGUGUUCCUAAAAACGACGAAUCAUGCAGCGACCAACCCAUGCAGUUAGAGAGGGCAGGAAAAACCGUGGCUACCAUGUUCUAUUGCUGUUGCUGGUAUUGUUAUAGAGGGCUUGUAUGAGACUGGGACUCACUCUGUGGCCUAGCUUGGCCUCAGGCUUACAGUGAGCCUCUUGCCUCAGACUUGCAAGUACUGGUAUUGUGGGUAUGAGCCAUCAUGCAACGCUUCAGUUCUGUUUCAUUCUGUUUUGUUAUUAGUUUUAUUCAAAAGUGAUUCUGUCCCAGGAUUCUGCUUUUAGGCGUGGCAGUGGUCUAGCCUAGGUGUGGCUGUAUAUGCCACGGACAUGCAGAAAUUAGGAUCUCUAUGAGCUAUCGUACAGGUGUUCUGCCACAUCAUAAAGGAAGACCAAUACUUUCAGUGUAUAUGCUGCUACCACACAGAUUCCAGAAGGACACGGUGAUCUGUAUGCACUUAACCGUUGCCAUCAGAGAGUGGGUGCAAAGUACCAGGUGUGGGGAGGUUAGGAACCCGAGUGGAGCUCUACACGUGCUGCCUAGUGAAUAAGGUAACUCAAGUCUUUGACCCUCUGUUCUCUCAACAAAGUCAUCAAGUCAUUGUCUAAUUUAAACGAGAAAACAAAGCAUAAGAAGAGCAUGUGCUGUGAGCGCUGUCACCUGUCGCUCUACUAUUGCUUUAUGGUGGGGCUAAAACUAGAAUCCAGCUCCUCCCCCCACCCUCAAACCAGCACUUAUUUUCCUUAACACAGUGUGAUAGAGCCCUGAUGUACAAUUCCCGAGGCACACUGUAGAAGCCUAACAUCUAGACGACUGACUUAAAAAAAAAAAAUACCACCAUUUUGAGAAAGCCAUUUCCACAACUAUCUGGGCAAAUGUCAAGGAACCAUGCACAGCAUGCACAGGAAAGAGAUCUACAGCUGUGUUGUUAGAGUAUCUAUGCUAAUGCAACAGCACACACAGAACAAGAUCUACAACUGUGUUGUUAGAGUAUCUAUGCUAAUGCAACACUGAGAUUCUUUUGACUCUGAAAAGCUAUUGUUUUUUUAAGUGGAGGUUUUAUAUUUUGGAUCUGCCUUUGGGUUACACAAAGAUACAUCGAGACCUUAUUACAAAGCAACCAUUUACAUUUUUUUUUUGUAUUGUUACUUUAAGUCUAAAGUACUGUUUUGUAACAGAUAAGAACUGAAGUUUUAAAAUGAAAUUCCUUUAAGUACCUUUGAGUAGGUUGAAUAUUCUGUCUCUAGAUUUCAAGUUAUUGUUAAAGCACAACUGCUAGCUUAAUAUAGUGGUCAUUAUAUAUCUAUUCAGCCUUCAUUCAACACACUUGGUUUGAGUGUCUGCUUGGAUAAGGUACCAAGGAAGUUUCUAUUGGGGAACAGUGGUAAUUCAAAUGGGGUUAGUUUCCCAUCAGUAUCUUCGGAAACACUGAAUGUUAAGGGGGAUUAGAGAGGAAGGGACCACUUCAAGCUUGUAAAUCGGAAAAAGGUCACUCUAGAGCAAAGCCUGCUCCUGAAUAGAGAUUAGGUAUUAACAUUUGAAAGCGAAGUUUGUCUACAGUGUCACCUUCUCUGCUCAGGGCUUGGUUGACAGUGUUGUAUUCAAGACAAGGCCCUUUAAACCAAAAUGCUUAAUCCCCUUGCCUUAGGACAAACAAGAAACACCACAUUUGCAGAUAGGACUCAGCUCUGCGAAAUGUGGGUCCUUUAUAGCCUCACAUGAUAAUCUGACCAGUGCUAAAAAUGGAAGAAUGGAUCAAAGCAGAAAGCUCCCAAGUAGAAACAGGGCAAGCCAGGGAGCCACACUGUCUCCAGGGUGGCUUUCUCACACUUAUUCCAUGGUUGUGAGGAAACUGACUCUGCCCUUAUCUUUGGGUGAGCAGGUAUCCUCUUGUUUUGUUUCCAAAUUUACAAGGAUGCUAACUUCACAGCCGUAAGAAAGAAGUGGGGUAACAUGUACAGCUCCUCAGAGAGGAGCCUGGUGUGUGGUAAACACUCGGCGUAUUUUAGCUCUUACAGUUGUCUGAAGAGUGAUGGAUCCCCAAGAUACCAGUCUCUUACAUUUAGAUGGGAGAGAAGUACAGAACACUUUUUUUUCAAAGGCAAAUUGAUUAACUGCUCACAGCACUUUGUCUCUUCACAGAUAAUGGAGAACAGAACAAAUUCAGUGAACUGUACUAGAUUAGCCUCUUCUUCUGACCCUGCAAUCUGAAGACUUUCUAAAGAAAGGGCAUCGAGGAAGCCAGGCUGGUGCUCUAGACAGUUAGUACAGUGUAUACCUGUUCUCCUGCGUUGCCACAACACAGCAGACAAAGCCUGGGUGCUCAAAGACCGUGGGAAGCUCUUGGUUCACAGUGCCUGAGGCAGAAAUCCCAAGUCAACAUGGUGGCAGGGUUACCUUCCCUCCGAGCCUAUGGUUAGCCUCAUAUGUGCUGCUCUCCUAGCUUCUGGUGUUGCUCACACUGUCUCCUCGGUUACCAGCAUCCCCAUUCCUUCCUCAGUUAUCUGGUACCAUGCUUCUCUUAUGUCUAAAAUUCCCCACAGCAUCUUUACCUCACAAGGAUGGCAGCCAUAUUAGAUUAGGGUAUGCCCUGAUGCCUUCAUCUUAAUCUAAUUAAACAGGUCUGUGAAGACCCUGUUUCGAGAUAAAGUCAUGUUCACAUUACUUAUAUGGUUGCAUAUCUUUUUUUUUUCUUUGUAGAGAAAGAAUUCAUCAUUAAGUGGCUGUCUCUUCAUAAUGAAGCUUAAGGCUUCAGGAGGGGCUAGUAGAUGCUUUGAUGAGUGUGUGUGGUCAGGGCCUGAAGGGCUUUGAGAAGCUUGAGUAGUAGCUAGGGUGGCUGACCUGGCUGCUGAGUUGCUUACACUUCUGAGUGUUAUGGAAUUCCAGGUCAAAGGCAGUUUCACAGUUAUCUAGAUGUAGCAACUCCUGUAAGACAACAGGUGUCUGUCUUUGUUUUGAUUUGUUGCUGUCAGUAGGAGUUCUGUGGCAGGUGAAUGUGUGAAUCCUUAGAUGGAGCUAUGGAGUCAAAGUGCUCAGAAUCUACUAUUGUACUAGGGGUGAGCCAUGCAUUUUCUGUUUGAUUGCUUGGCAUGACUCACACACAAUGUCUCAGUAGGCUCAGUCCAUCACAUAACCUGGAGAGAAGUCCAGACAACGGAAAGCUCAGAGAGCCAGGAUGUUGUUGAGGGUCGACAGCCUGCUCUUCCCUAACCUCUACAGUCUCGAGCCGGGGCUGCGUCAUGGUCCACAACUCUCCCAUCUGUCUCCGUGGAUCCUGAAAGCAGCAGAUAAAAUUUUCAAAGGCUUAGCUGCCUGUAAUUUAAGAAUGAACUUGGUUAGAAGUCAGAUCAAGCAAAGAAAAUGAAAAUGUCAUUGCACAGAGGAAAAUGACCAAGCUGAUGGAAUUGCAGUAUUUUUAAAAAAUAGUAAUUUGUAUCCUCUCUCUGUCCCCAGGGUUAUUUAUUUAUUUAUUUAUUUUUGUCUUUGUGUGUGUUUCUCUCUCUCUCUCUCUCUCUCUCUCUCUCUCUCUCUCUCUCUCUCUCUCUCUCUCUCUAUGUGUGUGUGUGUGUGUGUGUGUGUAUGUCUUAGCCUUUGAAGCAAAUGCUUCUCUUUUUGGGUGUAAUCUAAUAAUGGCUAGUGUUUGAGAGGGAAUAAGGUAGAAACCAAUUUGUAUAAGUGUAGAGGGAACGAUGAAGUUACCACAUGAAGCACUAUCACCUAUACGGUGGCAUUCCUUCUCAGGAACCAUGUGGGUCAUUUGAGAUGUUGCUAGGGGUUACAGAUAGUGAGGGGCAGUGAGCAUAGUGAUGUCCAGUAAUGCAGUUAAAACUAGAUGACGGGAGUUAGGGAGAUGGCUCGGUGGUGAAGCAUUCGUUGUACAAGUGUAAACACCUGAGUUUGGCUCCCCAGAGCUCAUGUUCAUCUUGCACAGGCCUGGCCACCAGUGCAACCCCAAUGUUUAGGAGCAGGGAGAGAGCAUUUCCAGGAUAAGCUGGAUGGCCAGACAAGUCGACUGGUGUGCUCUGGCAUCAUGGAAUCGAUCCUAUCUCAUUAUGUAAGGUGGAGUGUGGGCGAGGAAGUCAUAUAUGUCAACCUAUGAUCUUCAUGUGCGUAUAUGUACUAACGCAUGUGUGCCUCCAUUUAUGUAAACAUGAAUGUGCACAUACAUGCAAAGGGAAAAAAACUAGUUAAACAUCUGUACUCUCUGAUUUUGAUAGAUAUGCAUUAUAAUUUAUAUGCUUUAUAAUGAAUAUAUUACAAUUUAUAAUUCCAAUUGUUCCCAGAUUAAGCAGUAUUUUUUUUCAAGUUACACUGGUAAGUUAAGUAAUAAAGUUUAUCCCUUAUUAUCAUUUUAUGAGUGUAAUGAAUAGCAGGUCCAUCUCCAUCAACACGUCAUUCUACAGGUCAUGAUGUCGGAAUCAGGGUAGUUUAGCUAGUAGCUUACACUGAGCCAGUUUCUUGAUUCAUACUGAAAGUCUGAACUGUAGAAUUUGACAGAAAGAAGAGCCCAAUUGUGGAAGUCGUAAGAGGAAUGGAGGGAAUGUUUACUGCUUGCUCUCUGUUGUAAAGCUUAGGGUAGCCAACUAUUAUUCCCAUGUACAACAACCAAACUAUAAAACAAGCCAGACACAAUGGGAAUAUACACUGUGAUUCUCGGAUCAUGAACUAACCAUCAUCAGAAUUUAGAGAGUCCUAGCAUGCUUUCUUCUAUAUCAUGAUCUUUGCACACAGAAUACCACAUAUAACUUUUAACAGGUUAGCUUUGCAAAGCUCAGGGACUACAGAGAGGGUUCAGCAGGCGUGAGCACUGGCUGCUUGACCACAGGACCAGGUCAAUUCCCUGAGCCUUCAUGGUGACUCACUCAUAACCAUCCAUAACUCCAGUUCCAGGGGAGCCGAUGUUCUCUUCUGGCCACCUCAGGCACCACAGACAUGCGCACAGUCAAAACACACUUUGUGUGUGUGUGUGUGUGUGUGUGUGUGUGUGUGUGUGUGUGUAGUGUAUAUUUAACUUUUUACACUGUAGAUUAGCUUUGUCACACACACACAUAAAACUAUAUAUAUACAUAUAUAUACAUAUAUACAUACAACUUUUAACACUAGAGAUUAGCUUUGAAACAUACACACACACACACACACACACAACAAUAUAUAUAUGUAUAUACAACUUUUUACACUAGAUAAUAGCUUUGAAACAGACACACACACACAUACAUGACAAAGCUAAUCUACAGUCUUAAAAGUUAGAUGUGAUUAUUCUUUGGGCAGAACUCAGGAUUUGAACAGAGGCUAGAACUCUCUGAGUGCUGACCGUGGUGACUUCAUGAUCUGGGAACUGAUGAUUUCUGUGUUUAUUUUUAGAAAAUCUCUCAAACUCUAUACUUAAUAAUCUCUAUAUUUUUCUGCAAUUUUUAUAUUAAAAAGUAAAAACCACUGCAUGGUAGAGUAUAUUGGGGACUUAUAUAUAUAUAUUUUUUUCUUUUUUGUUUUUUUGAGACAGGGUUUCUCUGUGUAGCCCUGGCUGUCCUGGAACUCACUCUGUAGACCAGGCUGGCCUCGAACUCAGAGAUCCGCCUGCCUCUGCCUCCCAAGUGCUGGGAUUAAAGGCAUGUGCCACCAUUGCCCGGCCAUAUGUUUUCUAAAGAUAUUUUUGUCCUAAAGAUUUUACAAUUUUGGAUAGUUACUGAUGUAUGUUACUAAAAUUUAUCUUGAUGUUAUUUAUGGUGGAUGUGGAAAUAUAUUCAUACCCAUAAAAUUAAAAAAAAAAGUAUUUACGCCAAAAUUGCUGAAUGUUUCUCUGGGACCUUGCUUUAAUGUUUCUCAUAAUUAACAACUACUUUUGUUUCUAAAAUUAUAUUUCCCAGUUAUAUUAAUAUAUUCAAAAGCUCUCCCAUGGGCCAGGAUUAACUGUAAUUUAUAUUCGUUUAGAACAUAGAAUUUGUUUAGCAGAUUCCUUAUUUCUUGGCAGCUGUGUUUUUAUCUUUAAAAGUUUUAGGGAUCUGAGAACUGAACAACAACAACAAAAAGAAUAGGUCAGGAGGGGGCAUGCGAAUGGGUCUUAGAGGAUGGAUGUGGCUGUGUCGGUGGGUGUGAUACAGCCUCAGAGGACAAGAACCUAAAUCUACCAUCAUGAGCAGAUGGACAAAGGGGAUGUUCUUUUGGCCACACACCUCACACUUCCUGCUGGCCAUCAGUGUCGAACUCUUGUUGAAUGAAUGGAUUUAGACCAUCCAAUUAGUUGGUGGAGAGAGAAUAUAAAGAGUUUGGAUUUUAUUUAAAUUUUUACCUAUUUAAAUUACUUUAGUGGAGUGCUUCGGGAGGGAUGUGAAAUAGAAGAUAGAGUUAAUAUGCCAUGUUUUCUCUCCCAGCAAGAACUUACUCUCCAGCUAAAUAACCGAAUCUCUGAUAGGUAAAAUAUUUAAGUGAAGAUAUAUAUGUGUGAUGGGGCUGGAGAGAUGGCCCAGCAGUUAAGAGUAUUGGUCCUGAGUUAAAUCCCCAGCAACCACAUGGUGACUCGUAGCCAUCUGAAAUGGCUCCCGAUGCCCUCUUCUGAUGUGUCUAAAGACAGCGACACUGUAAUCACAUCAUAAUGUAAGUAGAUAAAUCUUUAUAAAAAAAAAAGCAUAUGAGUGAGAUCACUGGGAAUGGACGCAUCAGCAACCCUCAUUGUGUAAGAGCACCUCAGACCAGACAUCACUGGCGUCUCUCAUGGGUCACCGGAAUAGCCUCUAACUGGUCUCUCUCUCUUGCUCUUACAGAGAACAUGUGUGUUUGGCUUAUUUACACUCUUAGGACUAACAUUUUGGAUUUCCUGAUGUUCCUCUGUCAUAUUUGAUUUAUUUGUGCAUUCAUUUGUUUGCCAGUCUUGUGAUAAGCACCGCCUCUCUGGUGGGAACCAGCCAAAGAAUGAAAACAUGUGACACCAUCAGUGGUCACAGAUUAUAGGGACAGCUUUCUCUCUCAGCCCGACCCAAAUGAAGAAUAAGUGCUGAUAUCCACUGUUGCUGAAACUUGAUGAGAACCAGCCAGUCGGUAUACUCUUAACCAGCAGCAACUUCAUCGGCUGGAUAUGUGAGUUAAAGCAUCCUACUCCACGACCAGAGACAGCUAUGGGGCCAGUGAGUCUCAAGGUGUUUAAAAUAGGAACACAGAAUUGAAUGCAGAAGUAAGAGUUUGAAUGAGAAAAAAAGAGUCACAUUUUAAAAAGAAUGUUGAUAAAUAGCACAGAUGUCUCGAAUACAUCAUUAAGUGGUAAGCGUAAGUCAGCCUGACUCCAGGGCAGGAUUUCAAGGAGCUGUGCUCUAAUGGCCUCGCAUAGAUUAGUCCUAUACGUCUUUUGACUAUGAAAGACCAAAGUCUGGUUGCAAUCUCUUGCACUCUGCGGUAAAUGUCGUGGUCUAAGCCUCCACGGUGUUUCUCUUGGAUCACUAGGGUAGUCUCUGCCUUGCUAUUGAACAUAAGGUCUGCAUUUGGUUUACAAACAGGUUUUAGUAACAGAUUUUGUGGGCUUCCUGUGAAGUCAUUCCUUAGCUCGUUAGCUCGGUUACUGUUGGGUUGACUUUACAUACCACAGGGCUUUUAUGUUGCUUACUACAGAGAUAGAAGACAGACCGCUGCAUCCUCUGGCAAGGUCUAUGGAUCUUUUUUUCUUUCUUUAUCCUUUAAUUUAAAUUUUUUCUGUUGUGAGAAUUUGGCCUGUAGAUAUAUGUACCUUGAGUUAGAGAUGGUUGUGAGCAUUCAUGUGGGUGCUGGGAACCGAACUCUGGUCCUCUACAUGGAUAGUAAAUGCUCUUAACCUCUGAGCCAUCUCUCCACCCCCAUUUCCCAUAGGAUUUCAAGUCUUAGGUGCCUCAAGGUGGCCUCCAGCUCUAUGGAGAGGACUUCUGAUCAUCUUACCUCCAUCCCCAAGUGCUAGGAUAACAAGCAUUGCUCCCCUCCCCUGCUCCCUCUCCCUCCACCUCCCACUCCUCAGUUUCUGCAGUGUUGGAUUGAGCUCAAGGCUUCUUGUCUAUGAGGCAAACCAUUUUUUUGAAUUAUAUUCCUUCCUCUUUCUUAUGUUAAUGCUUAAGUUAUAUAAAACUCAAACAUUCAUGAGCUGUCUUAUCUGCUGUCCACAGCCCUGCUAUAGAUUGGUUGUGUUUCUUGCUGCAUGUCCUGAUAAUAUCAGAUGUGUGCUCAACAGGGAGAGCUUUCUUUGAGUUUAACCACUGAUGGGAACUGAAUUCUCUACUUACAAAUUUCAGCAUCUGUUGAUUGGAAGAGUUGUUUUGUUUUACAGACUGGCUCUUGACUUUGUAUUUGUCAAAUAUUCUUUCUUCUCCCUUAUCUGUACUCAGUUUCUGGGGCCAGUUUGGCAGGAGGCCUUUUCACUGUGAAAUGACCCUUGAUCCAGCAGGGUGAGGUCGACUCAUGGGCAGUAGAAACAUCUCUGAAUAUUUCUGCUCUGGAACAGUUAUCAAUAAUUGUCCUUGAAAAUGAUCCCAAAGCCAAUAGAUAAAAGGCACUAAAGCAAACCAUGGGGUCACCCUCCGGUCAGUCUGGGCUGCCAGGUGUGGAGGACGCCAGUGCCGGCUUCAUUGCCCCUCAAUGUAAGGGCUGCUGGUUAAAGGAGAGCUGUUGAGGACAGUGGGGACCGUCUGAGGUCUCAUUCUCAUAACUUCUAUAAAAGCCUAUGGUCACUGAACACAGUUUGAGGAUCUGGGUAACAUCAUUCAAGAGGCUUUGAGCAGGUGUAGAGCUCUGAAGUUGGAUUGCUAUCAGGCCCUUAAUACAUGGCCGUGGCCAGCAACUGACCUCUCAGCAGUUCGUCCUAAGAACUGUGCAGUAAAGCCAGCGAUAGAAACACCCAAGCACUUACUGUCUGCCGAACUCUGCUAAGACUUGAUUUUGAUUCUUUUUAAUGAGCAUUCUGAUUGCUUUUGUAAUAAGUGGUUGUCUUUCUCCUUUUGAAAACGCCGCAGAAAGUGGCCUGGGUACAUGCUUAGAAUCUCAGCAGUUGUUGACAAUGAGAAGGAUUAACCAUGAGCUCAAGGCCAGCCUGGGCUGCAUUGUAAGAUUCUAUCUCAUAACAAAACCCAACCCCAAAUGCUGAAGAGCAAUGUCGGCGUUUAUACAAGACGUGUAGUUUAGACAAGUCAGAAAGGUCAUUUUUCUUUAUCUUCUCAGUUCUUUUUGUUCUUAUUCUGAAUAUGUUUAUUAAAUUUAUACACUGACUUUACUUAGUGAACGCUACGUGGUAUUCUAGGUGUUUGAAUCCCUCUGCUCACGAACCUCAUAUUCUUGGUGCGGGACACACUAAACAAGCCAAGAACCAAGGGACAUAAAGUCUACAACGUUUUAGGAAGUCAUAAGCAUUCAGGGAGUCGGUGGGUGAACAGGGGGAAGGUCUGAGCGGGGAGGCUUUUCCGGAUGGGUCUUCCAGGGAGAAGAUGGCAUUGGCUCGAAGGAAUUAGGCAGCUCUGUGGCAGUGUAGCAAUGUGAGCUCUCCUUUGCGUGAGCUUGGAACUACUUGUGCUAUGCUAGGAGGUUGAAAGUUACGUUCCCAUGACCUGAUUGAUAUUUUAAAACUCUCUGGCUAUUGGGUUGAAACCACAAGAAGCUGGGUUGGGAUAGGGAGAUGGGCUACCAGGUAUCCUAGCUCUCGGUGCUGGGCAAUAGGAAUGUGGAGGCUCUGUGUUCCUCUCUAAUAGCUGCGUAGAUAACUGGCUGGGGAAUACCAAGGCAGUGUAGCUCAGUUAUCAGGGGCUCAUUCUCACUAGACUGACGCCAGGUUCUACUGCUCGUGCUAGGGAAUGCGGACUUAGAAGAAUUUCUGUUCCUGUCUUACUUCUUUCUUUAGAACUGGGAAACUCAAAAGUUUCAAAGUUUAUUCAGAAAGACUUGAGUAGCAAGGACGUGGGUUGAAAAGUUGAUCUUUUAAAAUUAUUUAUUUAUUUAUUUUAUUUUUCGAGACAGGGUUUCUCUGUAUAUUCCUGGCUGUCCUGGAACUCACUCUAUUGACCAGGCUGGCCUCGAACUCAGAAAUCCUCCUGCCUCUGCCUCCCGAGUGCUGGGAUUAAAGGAGUGCGCCAACACGCCUGGCUUUAUCUUUUUUUUCUUGUUAAUUGUUUUAUAAAGUAACAUUGUACCUUUGGGUAAUUAUGUGAAGGUGGACUAUUGUUUCUUGAGAAUAUAUAAGUAUAUAUGUAUAUAUGUGUGUGUGUGUGUGUGUGUAGUAGGCAUAGCUGUGGAUAUUUAAUGUUGAAAAAGAGAAAUAAAUAGAUAGACUAGGAGUAGAUUAGAGUGUUAUAAAACCCUGGAAUUUAGAAAACUUGAGCACUGAAUAUUCAGUAUGCCUAGGGGUCUUCUCUUGCAAUUUUAAUGCUUGAAUUACAUUAAGAUGUAUUAGGAGAAGCCACAACUAUCAAACGGCUUUUGCUUGAUGUAUGUACUCUUGGAAAAGGCAAUAUAGCGCCUGCAAAUUCGCUUUCAUGUAGGGUCCAACCUGGCCCCUUGUUGACAGCGCUGGAAUGAAUUGUCAUUUAAGGUAACAGAAUUACCCUUCCUGGAGUUCUUUAAAGAGCGGAUGAAGUGGCACCGGCUGUGCUGAGAUGUUUUGAUUUAGGCCAGUGGAGGUCAGACUACUUGACAGCACACAUCCUUUGAUUUAGUAAGAUGAAUUUGUUCACUGUUCUUUAAAAUAUAUAUCCUUCUCCGUGGAGACAGCAGGAUCCGAAGCAGGGGAGUUCCAAAUGGUGGAAAUGACAGAAGGAAAGGAUUUUGAAGGACAUUUCCUCUUCCUCUUCUUCCUCCCCUUCUUCCCUUUCUUCUCCUUCUUCCCCUUCCUCCCCUUCUUCUCCCUCCUCCUCUUCUUUUUUUAUUUUCCUUUGAGCUGUCAUGUCAAAGGAGAAAACAACUAAGGGGAAGGAAAAAAACUCUACCUUAAAUCUACCCUAAAUAAUGUACACAGUAUAUAUAUAUAUAUAUAUAUAUAUAUAUAUAUAUAUAUAUAUAAUUUUACUUUUGAUGUAAGGGAGAUUUUGUGCAGGCAUAUAUAUCUAUACAGAUAUAUUAAGACUUUUUCAGGAUAGUUAGACUGGAAAGAACAUUACCAUAGGAUGCUCAGGUCAGGCUAAAUUAAGUUACUGUGUUCAGAGGGAAAGAACGCUAGCUGUGUCUUGGAAAGAAACUGAGGCAAUUCUUUUGUAAAAAACGUAUAGGCGGUGUUGAAGAACCCCGAGGAGGUUUGCGCUUGUCAGACCUCCUUUCAUCUCAGCCUUUUAUUUGCUCUGUGAUAUUUCAGAGUUCACUUUAAUACGGCCAUUGUGCCUCAUAUUCUUUUAUCUUCCCUUCCCGCCCCAGCCUCGGUUUGGGGGAGAGGGAUGUUGGGAAUUCCUUUGAGAAUUGGAAUGAAUGAAGCUCUGAAAGCCCUCCCCUCAAAACUCCGUGUGCCCAUACAGAAAAUCUGCAUGAGAGUUCAGGGGUCUCGUGGUCUCAGGGAGCCGUCUGUGGAUCUCAGCCGCAAGUGACUGAAUGAGGACAUGUCAGUAACAACGUGUGGCUCCAAAUGCUGCCAUGGGAACAAUAUUUAGGGUGGGAGCCUGUGACCACUGGCUAAAAAGCCUAAAGCUUGAAGGGCAGGCCAGGGCAUCUCCUGUGUGAAAAGUGGAAGUUUGCUUCGGGUUGUUUCAGAGGUGGCUAGUCCUGUGCUGUAGCCGCUGACCACAUGCUGUUAUGUAGUUAAAAUUAAAGAAUUCUGUUCUCUAUGGGCGGGAAGAAUGUUUCAAUUGGCAAAUGACUGUGUAUGUUAAUGGCGUCUGAAUUCGACAGCAAGAAUAUAGACUAUGUCACCCUUGUAGAGAAGGUUUUUCUUUUCUUUUUUUUUUUUUUGAGUCGGGGGACAGAGCUACUCUAAAAUUGGGGACCUUAAAUGGAGUGAAUCAUGGCAAGGCAGAGUUUUAACUAUGGCCAGAAGCACUUCGUCACGUUUAGCCACCCAGUGCCCGUUCUGUUGAACUGGCUGCCUCUGCUCAGAAAGCUUUCUAUCAUUCGGAGGACUCAUACAGAGACAAUUCCUACCUAUUCCAAAUGAUGUAGAAGAUUCUGCGGAGAGCUGUGGGGCGUUUACGUGGGAGGAUGGCUGUGCAAUUCAAUAGUUCUUUUACUGAAAGACAUAGACCUGGGCCACACACACACUUUCAUCCUUAGCCCCACACAUGGUCAGUGGAAAGGGUUCUAUGUCCUCACAACCCCCAGUUCCAUGGUCUUGCCCCAGCCUAAUGCUUUCACAGUGAGCCCCUUGAUGUUCUCAGUAAACAGCAUUUCUGGUUGUACAUUAACCCAUUGUCUUAGUUGUGGUCCUAUUGCUGGGAAGAGACACUAUGACCAAGGUAGCUCUUAUGAAAGAGAGCAUUUAAUUGGAGGCUUGUUUAUAGACCAUUAUUGUCAUGGUGGGCAGCAUGGUGUUGUGCAGGCAGGUGCUGGAGCUGGUGCAGGACCUAAGAGCUACAUCUUGAUCCAUAGACGA